rnacentral:rRNA from 1 species
AGCAGUAGGGAAUCUUCGGCAAUGGACGAAAGUCUGACCGAGCAACGCCGCGUGUGUGAUGAAGGGUUUCGGCUCGUAAAACACUGUUGUAAGAGAAGAAUGACAUUGAGAGUAACUGUUCAAUGUGUGACGGUAUCUUACCAGAAAGGAACGGCUAAAUACGUGCCGG